rnacentral:rRNA from 1 species
GUCCACGCCCUAAACGAUGGAUACUAGGUGUGGGCGGUUUCAAACCCGUCCGUGCCGAAGCCAACGCGUUAAGUAUCCCGCCUGGGGACUACGGCCGCAAGGUUAAAACUCAAAGGAAUUGACGGGGGCCCGCACAAGCAGCGGAGCGUGUGGUUCAAUUCGAUGCGACACGAAGAACCUUACCUAGGCUUGACAUGCAAGUGGUAGUGAAGCGAAAGCGGAACGACCCGCAAGGGGAGCUUGCACAGGUGUUGCAUGGCUGUCGU